rnacentral:rRNA from 1 species
CCUACGGGGGGCAGCAGUGGGGAAUAUUGGACAAUGGGGGCAACCCUGAUCCAGCCAUGCCGCGUGUGUGAAGAAGGCCCUCGGGUUGUAAAGCACUUUCAGUGAGGAAGAACGCCUGGUGGUUAAUACCCAUCAGGAAAGACAUCACUCACAGAAGAAGCACCGGCUAACUCCGUGCCAGCAGCCGCGGUAAUACGGAGGGUGUGAGCGUUAAUCGGAAUUACUGGGCGUAAAGCGCGCGUAGGUGGCUUGAUAAGCCGGUUGUGAAAGCCCCGGGCUCAACCUGGGAACGGCAUCCGGAACUGUCAAGCUAGAGUGCAGGAGAGGAAGGUAGAAUUCCCGGUGUAGCGGUGAAAUGCGUAGAGAUCGGGAGGAAUACCAGUGGCGAAGGCGGCCUUCUGGACUGACACUGACACUGAGGUGCGAAAGCGUGGGUAGCAAACAGGAUUAGAUACCCUAGUAGUC